rnacentral:rRNA from 1 species
UACGUAGGGUGCAAGCGUUAAUCGGAAUUACUGGGCGUAAAGCGUGCGCAGGCGGCUUUGCAAGACAGAUGUGAAAUCCCCGGGCUUAACCUGGGAACUGCAUUUGUGACUGCAUGGCUGGAGUGCGGCAGAGGGGGGUGGAAUUCCACGUGUAGCGGUGAAAUGCGUAGAGAUGUGGAGGAACACCGAUGGCGAAGGCAGCCUCCUGGGCCAACACUGACGCUCAUGCACGAAAGCGUGGGGAGCAAACAGG